UAAACAAAGUAAUGUACUUAUUUCUCAAUUUACACCUCAAAGUAUCGCUAUUUAGCAGUAAUCAUUAUUCUGAAUGAAUAUUAUGCCUUAUCAUGUAAUCAUUAAUAUGAUAUUUGGGAAUAUGCAUGGAAUAUAUGAGGCAUACCUGUGCACAAAUUAUAAUAGACGUUUACUGUAUGCCUUUACAGGUUGACCUACAGUGGUGGAAUACUAUGUAAUUGUCAAGCAAAACUAAAUUUUUAGAUCGAAAGGUACGCAUGCAGUGUUGAUUAUAUAAAAGUAACAUAUAGCUCAUUGAUAGAAACAAUAUACGGUAGUUAUUUUCUGAAAUCAACUCAAACAUAUGCACAAGUGCAUAUUUGCCUAAAAUAUUGUAAGUGCAUGUAUACUUUGCAUUAAGACUUUUAUUGAUGAUCGUGUUAAUGUUGUUGUUCAAAUUAUACCAUGUCUAAGAGAACUAACAUCAGUACUUUUUAACAAUUUAUGUACAAUCUAAAUAAUAAUUGUGACGCUUAUCUAAUACUACGGAAAUGACAAUAACAUUGUAUAUCAUAUAUGUUUUACUUUUUAUAUAAGGUCUCACUGACUGAUUAUAACGCCGCAAAACGGGGUCUAUUAUAAAUCCAUUAAAUUAUCCGAAAGACAUUUCAAAGAAUUGAAAUUGACUUAAUCAAAUUGAGAACAAAAAACAUGUAUAAAUGUGAAAAGAAUAGCACGUUAACAUGUUUUUAAAUUCUAAUACAGGUUACAAUGAACAUAAGUGAAUUAAACAAACAUAAAGAGUGGGGAUGAUAUACCCACACACUUAAGUGGACAGUGAUUUUCAAUAUCACAAAUAUUUCGCCAAGAGAUCAUUCACUGGCUAGAAUAUCUGCUGAUAUACAGUACUGUCCGCGGGGAUUAAUUAUUGAUAACAAAUUCUUUCCUCGGGAAUUCAGCGAUAUACAAUUCCUUUCCGGAAGAUUAACGAGUCCGGUCAAGAAUAUGCAUUCCAAGUAUUUGAAAACCGAUAAAAUAGAUGGAAUGGAAUAAUGGAAUGUGGUCAAGGACACAACAACUCAGAACGAAAUUGGAAUGAACCGAGGCAUGCUAGGAUUGUUUUAAAAAAGUGUCAUGAACACAAACUUAUUGAGAAAUCGAAUUCAGUGUUAUACUCCAAUAAAUCAGACAUAUUUAUGUAAACUAUGCAAGUGCUAUUAAAUUUUCAAAUAAUUUUAAUCUUUAUACAUUUUUGAAUGUAUAUCGCUUGAAUACUA
rnacentral:lncRNA from 1 species